CCUUGACAUACUAAGAACUUUCCAGAGAUGGAGUUGGUGCCUUCGGAACGUUAGAUACAGGUGCUGCAUGGCUGUCGUCAGCUCGUGUCGUGAGAUGUUGGGUUAAGUCCCGCAACGAGCGCAACCCUUUUCCUAUUUGCCAGCGGGUCAUGCCGGGAACUUUAAGGAUACUGCCAGUGACAAACUGGAGGAAGGCGGGGACGACGUCAAGUCAUCAUGGCCCUUACGGCCAGGGCUACACACGUGCUACAAUGGUCGGUACAAAGGGUUGCUACCUCGCGAGAGGAUGCUAAUCUCAAAAAGCCGAUCGUAGUCCGGAUCGCAGUCUGCAACUCGACUGCGUGAAGUCGGAAUCGCUAGUAAUCGCGGAUCAGAAUGCCGCGGUGAAUACGUUCCCGGGCCUUGUACACACCGCCCGUCACACCAUGGGAGUUUGUUGCACCAGAAGUAGGUAGUCUAACCGCAAGGAGGACGCUUACCACGGUGUGGCCGAUGACUGGGGUGAAGUCGUAACAAGGUAGGCGUAGAUGA
rnacentral:rRNA from 1 species